UACCUUUGCGCUGCUUUUGGUUCCCGAUUUAAGGUCGGGAUUAAAAGGGAAUACGGUGUAAAUCCGCAACUGUCCCGCAGCUGUAAGCUCUAUAACGGUUUUCAAUUCUAUGGCCACUUUUCGUGUAAAACGAAUGGGAAGGCUGGAAACCGGGAGUAAGUCAGAAGACCUGCCUAAGCAUUAUAAUUUCA
rnacentral:ncRNA from 2 species